AGUCCUAUAGCUCAGUGGUAGAGCAAUGUACUUAUGAUGCAUGGGCCGCGAGUUCAACCCUCGCUAGGACUA
rnacentral:tRNA from 3 species